rnacentral:lncRNA from 1 species
UGGAGCAUUGCGUCGCCAAAGCGCCAGUAGACGCUCGCCGCCGAAGGUAUUGUGAGGGUAAAAAUGUAGAGCACGGCACAGAGGUAGACAAUCUUGAAGCUUUUUGGCUUGUGCAUUGCAUCCAUGAUCUCUCUGUUAACUCAAUAACAGCCUGUUUUAGAAGAUUUGGCUGGGGGAAAAAAAGAAGAUUUUCUCUCUUCUUUUUUAUUUGGCUUACAGCGUGACUGCGUGACCUCCAAAUGCGUAGAGAAUGUUUGUGCCUCCUGUGAAGUAUUGGACCGAGCUUUUUGCACCAGAAUGCUCGACGCUUUCUACCUGUAGGUCGAUUACACUAGAAGGGAGGGAAGAAGAAGAAGAUUGGACGCUUACUUUGCCAUGAAUUACAGCAGAGAUAGUCAUAAACCAAGCUGUGUAAGUCGUCAUGAAGAUUCCUACAAACGCCCACAGCCGGUAAUUGCGAGCUGUUGGAACAAAAAUCGUGAGGAAACAGCCGGCUCCAAAGAUGUAUGUCCAUGUUCUUUUCUCAAAACUAUCAUUGAUAUACCAAACGGUGCUGCGACCAUUCUAACCAUUGUCAACACUUUCACCUUUCAGAUUUUCCAUACCUUCCGCAAGCUAUAAGCUGGAUCGUUGCAGUACAAAGAAGAAGGAUGCAGUUAUAUACCAAGCCGGCCAUCUUCCAUCCUUCUCCCAGAAGGCCUCCCAAAACUUCAUACCACUGAAAGCCAGGGUCUCGAGAGGUUAGUGUCUCUUCAUACACUACCACACCUGGAUAAUGUGGUCAUCUCGGCGAGAGUUUUGCCUGUCGAGAAUUCUAACAUAGUCGGCGUACAGGCUGGUGGUCAUAUAACAGCUCCAGCACCCGAGAAGCCCAUACACGAGCUGGAACAGUAUACCCUGCACCAUUCCCAUUUGAG